rnacentral:rRNA from 1 species
UGGGGAAUAUUGCACAAUGGGCGCAAGCCUGAUGCAGCCAUGCCGCGUGUGUGAAGAAGGCCUUCGGGUUGUAAAGCACUUUCAGCGAGGAGGAAGGUGGUGAGCUUAAUACGCUCAUCAAUUGACGUUACUCGCAGAAGAAGCACCGGCUAACUCCGUGCCAGCAGCCGCGGUAAUACGGAGGGUGCAAGCGUUAAUCGGAAUUACUGGCGUAAGACGCACGCAGGCGGUUUGUUAAGUCAGAUGUGAAAUCCCCGGGCUCAACCUGGGAACUGCAUUUGAAACUGGCAAGCUAGAGUCUCGUAGAGGGGGGUAGAAUUCCAGGUGUAGCGGUGAAAUGCGUAGAGAUCUGGAGGAAUACCGGUGGCGAAGGCGGCCCCCUGGACGAAGACUGACGCUCAGGUGCGAAAGCGUGGGG